rnacentral:rRNA from 1 species
UACGUAGGGCGCGAGCGUUGUCCGGAUUUAUUGGGCGUAAAGAGCUCGUAGGCGGCUCGUUGCGUCGGCUGUGAAAACCCGCAGCUCAACUGUGGGCUUGCAGCCGAUACGGGCGGGCUGGGAUUCGGUAGGGGAGACUGGAAUUCCUGGUGUAGCGGUGAAAUGCGCAGAUAUCAGGAGGAACACCGGUGGCGAAGGCGGGUCUCUGGGCCGACACUGACGCUGAGGCGCGAAAGCCAGGGGAGCAAACGGG